rnacentral:rRNA from 1 species
UACGUAGGGUGCGAGCGUUGUCCGGAAUUAUUGGGCGUAAAGAGCUUGUAGGCGGUUUGUCGCGUCGGCUGUGAAAACCCGGAGCUCAACUCCGGGCCUGCAGUCGAUACGGGCAGACUGGAGUUCGGCAGGGGAGACUGGAAUUCCUGGUGUAGCGGUGAAAUGCGCAGAUAUCAGGAGGAACACCGGUGGCGAAGGCGGGUCUCUGGGCCGAUACUGACGCUGAGGCACGAAAGCGUGGGGAGCAAACAGG